rnacentral:lncRNA from 1 species
UUUUAUGUUUUGUAAACAAAAUGAGUUUAAAUGAAAAUAUUUUAUAAAUUGUCUUGAAACGAAAUAACGAUUUUGAAAAUAGAGUAAUUGGAGACCACUGAUAUGUUGUAAAUUUAAAAUUGAAUUAAUGGCUUAUGUUAUUGUAUUGGCAUGACUGGCUGGGCUGGGUUUUUAUGAAUUAUAUGAAUUGCUUUAUUUUACCCUUGCAGGCUGGGUAGUAAUAUAUUAGCCCUGUCAUGCUGUCAAAAUUUUAUUGUAUGGUGGGUUUGACCUGCUGCAGUGGGCUGGAUUCUGUGGACUAGCCUAUUAGAGGGGCACGGAAUCCUGUUAUAUUUUUACCUCGGUUGGAGAGGCGAGUAGGGUAACUCCCGAGGUAUAACUUUUAGAGUUCACUUCACGCCAAACCACCACGUGAAGGGGAACUCGGCCAACGCCAAGGAACGGCUAUGUUUUCAAAAUAAAAACAUGACUUUCUAAUAGCCUUGGCGGACUCAGUUGGGAUAGCCCUCGGCCAAGGUAUCCCA